rnacentral:rRNA from 1 species
AUUGAACGCUGGCGGCAGGCCUAACACAUGCAAGUCGAGCGGAGCGGCGGACGGGUGAGUAAUGCCUAGGAAUCUGCCUGGUAGUGGGGGAUAACGUCCGGAACCGGGCGCUAAUACUGCAUACUCUCAGAAGAGCCUAUGUCGGAUUAGCUAGUUGGGGGGGUAAAGGCCUACAAAGGCGACGAUCCGUAACUGGUCUGAGAGGAUGAUCAGUAACACGGGAACUGAGACACGGUCCAGACUCCUACGGGAGGCAGCAGUGGGGAAUAUUGGACAAUGGGCGCAAGCCUGAUGCAGCCAUGCCGCGUGUAUGAAGAAGGCCUUCGGGUUGUAAAGUACUUUCAGUCGGGAGGCGUUACCGACAGAAGAAGCACCGGCUAACUCCGUGCCAGCAGCCGCGGUAAUAC